GCCAGGCGUGGUGGCGGGCGCCUGUAAUCCCAGCUACUCGGGAGGCUGAGGCAGGAGAAUCGCUUGAACCCGGGAGGUUGCAGUGAGCCGAGAUUGCGCCGCUGCACUCCAGCCUGGGUGACAGAGCAAGACUCUGCCUCAG
rnacentral:SRP_RNA from 1 species